rnacentral:rRNA from 1 species
AUGGUAUUUGCCGUUGGGCUGCAAGGUCACAGCAGAGCAAAGAGGCUUGUACGGUACUCAAAACAGCUCACUGAUGCAUGCAUGGCGAUGCUGCAGGAUGCUACAGGGAGGGACUCACGGGUCAGGCUGGCUUGGACUGGGAGAGAGCAGAAAAGGCGCAAGAAAAGAAUCUUUCAAUCAAGGGCAGCAACCAAGACCAAGCUCGCAAGCCCCACCAAGUUAUUAUUAAUUAAGAAAAGAAAAAGAAAAAACACAGGCACUUCGCAUAACAAACAAACUAAUCAUCAUCGCCACUCAUCGCCCCGGUACCUUUAUUCUACGCCCAGCUCCUCCUCCUCCUUCCUCCUCCUCUCUGAUUAG